GACUCUCUUAAGGUAGCCAAAU
rnacentral:ncRNA from 3 species